GAUGAACGCUGGCGGCGUGCCUAAUACAUGCAAGUCGAGCGAACAGACGAGGAGCUUGCUCCUCUGACGUUAGCGGCGGACGGGUGAGUAACACGUGGAUAACCUACCUAUAAGACUGGGAUAACUUCGGGAAACCGGAGCUAAUACCGGAUAAUAUAUUGAACCGCAUGGUUCAAUAGUGAAAGACGGUUUUGCUGUCACUUAUAGAUGGAUCCGCGCCGCAUUAGCUAGUUGGUAAGGUAACGGCUUACCAAGGCAACGAUGCGUAGCCGACCUGAGAGGGUGAUCGGCCACACUGGAACUGAGACACGGUCCAGACUCCUACGGGAGGCAGCAGUAGGGAAUCUUCCGCAAUGGGCGAAAGCUUGACGGAGAAACGCCGCGUGAGUGAUGAAGGUCUUCGGAUCGUAAAACUCUGUUAUUAGGGAAGAAAAAAUGUGUAAGUAACUAUGCACGUCUUGACGGUACCUAAUCAGAAAGCCACGGCUAACUACGUG
rnacentral:rRNA from 1 species